UGGCGACAAUAGCGAUACGGUACCACCUGACUCCAUUCCGAACUCAGAAGUGAAACGUAUUAGCGGCGAUGGUAGUGUGGGGCUUCCCCAUGUGAGAGUAG
rnacentral:rRNA from 1 species